rnacentral:rRNA from 1 species
AUUGAACGCUGGCGGCACGCUUAACACAUGCAAGUCGAACGGCAGCAUCAGAUAACUUCGGUUAUUUGGAUGGCGAGUGGCGAACGGGUGAGUAAUGCGUAGGAAUCUGCCCUGAAGCGGGGAUAACCCAUCGAAAGGUGGGCUAAUACCGCAUACGCUCUGCGGAGGAAAGCUGCCUAAUCACUAAGUUAUUUUUAUAGAUGAUUUAGUGAUUAGGUGGCACUUUAGGAUGAGCCUACGUCGGAUUAGCUUGUUGGUAAGGUAACGGCUUACCAAGGCGACGAUCCGUAGCUGGUCUGAGAGGACGAUCAGCCACACUGGAACUGAGACACGGUCCAGACUCCUACGGGAGGCAGCAGUGGGAAUAUUGGACAAUGGGGAAACCCUGAUCCAGCGAUGCCGCGUGUGUGAAGAAGGCCUGCGGGUUGUAAAGC